rnacentral:rRNA from 1 species
UGGGGAAUAUUGGACAAUGGGCGAAAGCCUGAUCCAGCCAUGCCGCGUGUGUGAAGAAGGUCUUCGGAUUGUAAAGCACUUUAAGUUGGGAGGAAGGGCAGUAAGCUAAUACCUUGCUGUUUUGACGUUACCGACAGAAUAAGCACCGGCUAACUUCGUGCCAGCAGCCGCGGUAAUACGAAGGGUGCAAGCGUUAAUCGGAAUUACUGGGCGUAAAGCGCGCGUAGGUGGUUUGAUAAGUUGGAUGUGAAAGCCCCGGGCUCAACCUGGGAAUUGCAUCCAAAACUGUCUGGCUAGAGUAUGGCAGAGGGUGGUGGAAUUUCCUGUGUAGCGGUGAAAUGCGUAGAUAUAGGAAGGAACACCAGUGGCGAAGGCGACCACCUGGGCUAAUACUGACACUGAGGUGCGAAAGCGUGGGGAGCAAACAGG